CCUACAGGAGGCAGCAGUGAGGAAUAUUGGUCAAUGGGCGAGAGCCUGAACCAGCCAAGUCGCGUGAAGGAUGAAGGAUCUAUGGUUUGUAAACUUCUUUUAUAUGGGAAUAAAGUUAGGAACGUGUUCCUUUUUGUAUGUACCAUAUGAAUAAGCAUCGGCUAACUCCGUGCCAGCAGCCGCGGUAAUACGGAGGAUGCGAGCGUUAUCCGGAUUUAUUGGGUUUAAAGGGUGCGUAGGUGGUUAAUUAAGUCAGCGGUGAAAGUUUGUGGCUCAACCAUAAAAUUGCCGUUGAGACUGGUUGACUAGAGUAUAUUUGAGGUAGGCGGAAUGCGUGGUGUAGCGGUGAAAUGCAUAGAUAUCACGCAGAACUCCGAUUGCGAAGGCAGCUUACUAAACUAUAACUGACACUGAAGCACGAAAGCGUGGGGAUCAAACAGGAUUAGAUACCCGGGUAGUC
rnacentral:rRNA from 1 species